AACUUUUAGCAAUGGAUCACUUGGCUCUCGCAUCGAUGAAGAACACAGCGAAAUGUGAUACGUAAUGUGAAUUGCAGAAUUCAGCGAACCAUCGAAUCUUUGAACGCACAUUGCGCCUGCCAGCAUUCUGGCAGGCAUGCCUGUCCGAGCGUCAUUUCCCCCCUCACGCGCCCCGUUGCGCGCUGGUGUUGGGGCUCCUCUGCCUGGCAGAGGGCCCCGAAAGCAAGUGGCGGGCCCGGCUGGCUGGCCCCGAGCGCAGUACCGAACGCACCGUUCUCCUCUCGCUCAGCGGCCGCCGCCGGCGCCCUGCCGUCAAGACAGCACAUGACGUGCAACCCCAAUCACAAGGUUGACCUCGGAUCAGGUAGGACUACCCGCUGAACUUAAGCAUAUCAAUAAGCGGAGGAU
rnacentral:misc_RNA from 1 species